UCAGCUUCCCGUCCAGUCAGCUGCUCAGCUUCCCAGCCGCCAGCAUGAGGCUCCACCACCUUCUGCUUGCAUUCCUCUCCGUGCUCCUGCUGUCUGUGCCAGGUUUUUCUGACUUUAUAAAUCCUGGUACAUGCAGGAAGAUAGGAGGUCAAUGCUCACAAUUCGUUUGCCCUAGAGGUAAAAGAGCAAUAGCCUACUGCAUGGUGCCUGGAGUAAUGUGCUGUGUAGGAAAGUAACUUGAAAAGGAAGAACCAGUUGUCACACAAAGUCAUCGAAGACAUUGAAGACCUUUGCAAAGACAUCGAAUGGAAAUAAAAUUGAACCAUUUGGUUUAAAAACCAA